UGCAGCGACGCCGCGUGGGGGAUGAAGGCCUAUCGGGUUGUAAACCCCUUUCAGCAGGGAAGAAGCGAGAGUGACGGUACCUGCAGAAGAAGCGCCGGCUAACUACGUGCCAGCAGCCGCGGUAAUACGUAGGGCGCAAGCGUUGUCCGGAAUUAUUGGGCGUAAAGAGCUCGUAGGCGGUUUGUCGCGUCUGGUGUGAAAACUCAAGGCUCAACCUUGAGCUUGCACCGGGUACGGGCAGACUAGAGUGCGGUAGGGGUGACUGGAAUUCCUGGUGUAGCGGUGGAAUGCGCAGAUAUCAGGAGGAACACCGAUGGCGAAGGCAGGUCACUGGGCCGCAACUGACGCUGAGGAGCGAAAGCAUGGGGAGCGAACAGGAUUAGAUACCCUGGUAGUCCAUGCCGUAAACGUUGGGCACUAGGUGUGGGGCUCAUUCCACGAGUUCCGUGCCGCAGCAAACGCAUUAAGUGCCCCGCCUGGGGAGUACGGCCGCAAGGCUAAAACUCAAAGGAAUUGACGGGGGCCCGCACAAGCGGCGGAGCAUGCGGAUUAAUUCGAUGCAACGCGAAGAACCUUACCAAGGCUUGACAUACACCGGAAUCAUGCAGAGAUGUGUGCGUCUUCGGA
rnacentral:rRNA from 1 species